AGUCUGGCUUGGAUUUGGGUGGGAAAGGCUUGUAGUGGGAAAUACGAUAAAAAGAACAAAAAAUGGAAAACAGAUUCUCAAGAAAUCCCCACAACCGUCAUCAAGAAAAUGGAUACAGGAGCAAAAGUUAUCGCCAAAGGUCCAGAGAGAGUGGCAGUCCUCUUAGAAGUCCGCUGCAGCCCAAGAAAGAUCACCACAACAGGGAGCACGAGACCGCAAUUCACCGCUCUAGUGGACAAAGAAAACACGGACAACAAGGAUGUUGUAUAGAAGGAGCGAGGGAUGUCGGAGAAUGGUUGUUGUGUUGUGUGUGUAUACGGAUCGAGAGGGCUUUAUAAGCUAGUCACUGAAGUUUGGAAUGGUUUGAAGAGACGUUUGAUUCAAUGCUGUCUGAUGCAAUUAUUUUUUUUAUGUUCUUUAGGUCAAAAUGAAUAUUCUGUUCAGUCUUUGUGUGAAACUUUGGGUCAAAUGAGUGUUCUGUUCAAUUUUUGUGAUCACUUGUUCGUGAUAGUUUGGGUCAAAUGAAUAUACUAUGUUAACUUUUUUGGGCUGUAAAUCUGUCAGAAAUGUUUUUAUUUUUAUUAUGUGUAAUGUAAAUCCUGAAAGAAACGAUGCAGGAUGCAGUGUACAGAGAGAAAAUCUACAACCAAUAGUGCUACUAUAGGCAGCUUAUAAGACCUCCAUUAUUGUUCAGUAAAAGGGUUUGUGUUCAUUGUGUGUGUCAGGAAUUAGUGAAUGGAACCAAGAUCCACUGAUGUAUGUAUAUGGGCAGCAUGAAUAGAGAGUGAGGGAAAGGAAGAGCCAGAAAGAUACUUGUGUGGAACAGAGAAAAAACUAUAAGAUAUAUAAACAUUUAUGGUACUUUUCAUUGUAUUACAUGUAUUUUAUUUGCAUUAGUUCAUGUCAUGUUUUAAGAGGAACUGUAUGAUCUUGAGUUGUAGAGUAUUUUAUUGUGAUCAUUUUAAUUUUUAAGUGAUUUUUUGUUUUUAAAUCUAAGUUAUUGAUCUGUAGUCUUUGUAUCUAUAACGAGGUAGAAGUCCGAGUAGUCAAUGGUCAUUUUGUUUCAUGACGCAUCCAUUUAAAACAAUAUUUUUUUAGAGAUUAUAACUGAAAUGAAUCGUAUGGCAUGAUCUUGUAAACAGCAUUGUUCAUGGACAUGUAUAAAUAAACACAUACUACACACUUU
rnacentral:misc_RNA from 1 species